GAUGAACGCUAGCGGCAGGCUUAAUACAUGCAAGUCGAGGGGCAGCAUGAUUGUAGCAAUACAAUUGAUGGCGACCGGCAAACGGGUGCGGAACACGUACACAACCUCCCAAUAAGUGGGGAAUAGCCCAGAGAAAUUUGGAUUAAUACCCCGUAACAUAACGAUGUGGCAUCACAUUGUUAUUAUAGAUUUUUCGCUUAUUGAUGGGUGUGCGGCUGAUUAGAUAGUUGGCGGGGUAACGGCCCACCAAGUCUACGAUCAGUAGCUGAUGUGAGAGCAUGAUCAGCCACACGGGAACUGAGACACGGGCCCGACUCCUACGGGAGGCAGCAGUAAGGAAUAUUGGACAAUGGACGCAAGUCUGUUCCAGCCAUGCCGCGUGAAGGAUUAAGGUCCUCUGGAUUGUAAACUUCUUUUAUAAGGGACGAAAAAAGGCUUUUCUAAGUCGUCUGACGGUACCUUAUGAAUAAGCACCGGCUAACUCCGUGCCAGCCGCCGCCGUAAUAC
rnacentral:rRNA from 1 species